rnacentral:rRNA from 1 species
GGGGAAUUUUCCGCAAUGGGCGAAAGCCUGACGGAGCAAUACCGCGUGAGGGAGGAAGGCUCUUGGGUUGUAAACCUCUUUUCUUAGGGAAGAACAAAAUGACGGUACCUAAGGAAUAAGCAUCGGCUAACUCCGUGCCAGCAGCCGCGGUAAUACGGAGGAUGCAAGCGUUAUCCGGAAUGAUUGGGCGUAAAGCGUCCGCAGGUGGUUUUGUAAGUCUAUUGUUAAAGCGUCUGGCUCAACCAGAUAUCGGCGGUAGAAACUACAAGACUAGAGUCCGUUCGGGGCAGAGGGAAUUCCUGGUGUAGCGGUGAAAUGCGUAGAGAUCAGGAAGAACACCGGUGGCGAAAGCGCUCUGCUAGGCCGGAACUGACACUGAGGGACGAAAGCUAGGGGAGCGAAUGGGAUUAGAUACCCC